rnacentral:RNase_P_RNA from 1 species
GCACCAGCGGCCGGGUGACCGGUCGGCUGGGCAAACCCCACGUGGAGCAAGGCCAAAUAGGAGGACACAAGGACGCCCGGCCUGUCCUCGGGUUGGCCGCUGGAGGUGGCGGGCAACCGCCAUCCUAGAUUGAUGGUCACCGCCCCGACGUGAGUCGGGGGCACAGAACUCGGCUUACAGGCCUACUGGGCCG